GGGCCCAGAUGUCUCCUCUUUUGCCAUUCCUAAUGAGAAACAGCCCCAUCCUUUGACAGAGCUAGAGUCAUCAAUCUAUGGAUUAAAACAUAACGCCCAGCCAAACUUUCUUUAUCCUUUCGGGCACAUGGUGUAUUUUCAAUAUGGCUCCACAGAGCCAGCCAGCAGCCCCUGCUUAACGGAAUGAUCUCUGCGGGCUGGAAAAGACAGACACCCUAACUGUUUGACCAACAAAUGUAUAGAAAAUAGUGGCCGACCUGUCAUGUUGCUUGAAGGACUCUGGCGUUUGGAAUAUACGACGGCUUUUAUGGAUGGACUGCUGGAACACUUAAUAUAGCUCUAUUUUUGAAUUAUCAAGUUCUAUCCUUUUGAAGUCUGUGUUAGUGGAACUCCUAUUUAUGAGAUGUGCUGUGCUUAAAGGUUUGCUAUUGAUGAAGAGGUCCAACAGAGCCUUUAUCGUAAGUACGGCAGCAUUCUCUCUGAGAGAUAAAUAGCCGUGCUAAAAGAGAUGAAUGGCAUUUCUUAAAACCUAGAGGGGCAGAAGCAUGCUGCUCAUCAUUGUACAGUAGACCUGAAGGAAUGUGGAUGGUCCUCUGUUUCAAGAGAACGUGGAUUAACAUUGUGGAAAGAUGCUAUGGCCGGCCGACAGUAAUGCCUUUUAUAAUGCCAGAAAGACAUUGCUAUGACCCGGAAAUCAUGGGUCGGUGAAAACAUCUGGAUUUUGUGCAGGUGGUGGCUCUAAAUAGCUUACGGGCUCUAUGGAUGUCUAGAAGCAGUGAAGUCGUGUUCGUUGUUAUUGCAUGAAAUGAAAGAAGCACCUUGGAUGAUUACAGACAAAGAUCUCUUCCCAGUGGCCAGCAGAACCGAGGGGAAGAGCCACCUCUCAUUCCCUUCGCAGAUGGCCUAGGAGCUGGGAGGAUGGGCAGAGAAGCCUGGAAAACCGGCUGGCUUCUAAUUGUGUCUUUACAGCCAACUAGGCUACCAAAAUGAUUAUCUUUUUCUCUCCGAGCCUUACUGACCUGUGGCUAAUGAGAUUUGUGCUUCGAUUAGUUGUAGAACAUAAAUUAGCUAAUCAAUGGCAAUGGAUUCGCAUUAUUUCUCAUACAUGAGUUCUGCUGCAGUGAUCUGUACUGAAUAUUCAAAUCAAUUUCAGAUACUCUGAACGACUCCGUUAAUGUGACCUGCUGGAAUCUGGCUGCAUGCGUAGCCUCCUUGGGAGCAGAUGAAGACCAGGCUGAGCCCAGCUCAUACCCCAGCCACUCAGGCAUCCGGAGCUCUGCAAACUACCUUGCUUUCCCUUUCACACAAUGACGGUCAAAGAGGAUUGGGGAAAAAGUCGUGCGGCUGGUGGGGGGAAGCAACAGAAACUCCGGAGAACUCACAGCCCCACCUGGCCUCCUUUCCUGCAAAGGAACCAGGCUAAGUGGACAUCAAAAAGCAGGGAGCUGUUUUCAGGUUUCUGGGGUACAAACUUUGCCAAGGGCAGGAUCCUGGGUCGUCAUCUUCAGUUUUCAACCAGGGGAAGAAAAUCUUCACUCUUUGCUGUAGUUGUCUCGUCUGUACAAUUAACCAGCAUCUUGGCAUAAAACGUGGAAAUUUGUACAGUCUUCCAGGCAUCUGUGGGCUUUAUGGUACAAGUUCUGUUAGUACUGAAGCCACAGAAAAUUAAAUGUUCCCCAAAGAACUUCCAGAUGUGCUUUAUUCUAAUGGGGUCAUUAUGCAGUAAAUUAAAAAGCAGGGUAAAUGGAACUGUAAAAUUUAAAUUACUCUAAAACCACAUCUCUUUGCUUUGAGCAUUCAUUUGUGGGGUUGCAUUUGCAAUAAAUGUGAAUUAGGCAGCUGCAAUAACUGUUAAUCAUAUAUUUAUAAAAUAGUAAUGAGGAAAUGAAUAGCAGAGUAAGACAGCUGCACAUUUGUCUGAGAGUGUGUCAACUGUGAACAUAAUAAGAUGUGGAACAUUGUUUGGAGCUGGGCUGAUAAUACAGUGAAUGUAAGAGAUCGCUUCAGCCUCUUAACUUUACACGAAAUUAUACAUAAAAUCCAUAAAAGCCCAUAAUAAUGCAUUAUGCCCCUGAAUUGUAUUCAAUAUUUUUCUUUGCUUUGAUUUUCUGAAAUGAGCUCUACUUUCGCCAAAGCCAUCUUCCAGGCAUCAGUGAGGCUUUUGUUUCAGGCGAUGUCGGGCUUCUGAGAUUGCAAUUGGAUUUAAAGGAAGCAGGGCCGGUGCUGGCAAGGAGUUAAUGGUGGUGCUUUGUUUUGUUUCCUCGGACCUGCUGUACGCGGCUGGAGGCACGCCUUGUCCUGGGCGGAGGACAGAGGGGCUCCAGGCCUCUGCAACUGACCCCUGAGAUCAAGAUGGGGGAGAGAGGCCACUGCCAGUCCACCAGAGCCCCUGGGCUGCACGCUGGACCUGGUGAGAGCAGGGACACGGCUUUCAGCCACUGUUCAGACAAGCAUCUCCUUGGGGGCCAUGGCUGGGAGCUCCAGGCAGGUCUAGUAAAGGUCCGUGGCCUUGUGCUUGGGAAGGAUGGUUAUCCUGAUGGCUGAAGUGAUGAUUGUUACUUGGAAACCUCCUUGCCUGGUGUUUGAACCAACCCCUCUGAAGGGAGCAUCUGUUGAGGCAGAGCCUUCCUGAGCACGGAGAGGCAGGGAAGGGGCCAGUGAGUGAGUGUCCACAAGCAGCUAAUCCUGGCUGUCCUUGUAUCCUGUCCUGUCCAGCUGAUCCUGGCUCUCCUCCUGUCCUUGUAUCAUGGGCAUGACCAGGAUGAAGCCAGUGCCCUUUACUGAACAUUCAGGGCUCUGUCCGGCCUGGCCCAACUGCGUCUCCCCGACCCCCACGUUAAACACCCGCGGGGUCCCAGAUCUGCCAUGAUCUCAAGUUUGGUGGCUCUGAGUAUGUGGUUCUCUUGACCUGGAAUAUUCUUCCCUGCUUCAAAGAUCCCAGUUGCUCCUGCAUGUCCCUUGUGAAGCUGCCCCAGACUCCUGGACCCCUUUCCUUAUACCCCUGGUGCUCAUCACGCUCCGCGCACCUCACCAUGACAACAGCAGUCUCAUCGCAUCUCUGGGGUGCUGUAACCUAGUGUCCAUGUACCUGUCAGACUCAGGGCUCCCUGAGCAGACCCUCAGGUUUGGUGCUUUGCUACAUCUUGUUUUGGGAGAUGCAGCCACUGGAUGUUGGUGUAGGAUUAAGGACAGUGGCCUGGGAGGGUCUAACGUAAGCUCUCUUGGUGUUUCUACAAUUAGGCCAGGUCUCCCUUUUCUCUGGGCAGCCCCCAGCUCUUGGGAUGAAUGACAAUUGUCUGUAAGGAGCUGGAGAAGGAGCAGGUCUAACAGGAAGAGGGGAAGUUCAAUGUGGGGUGUUUCAAAAUAGAAUGUUGAGUUCAUAACCGUCCUCCCAUCACUCAGGAUUUUGUAAGACCCUCACUGAAGGCAGUUUAUUGUAGGAAACUGGGACUCACUGUUCUUUCUGGGAAAGAGGGAGGAGAGGGAGAGAGACAAAAACAGAGACAGAGGCAAGGAAAGACACACAGAGAAGAGGAAGAGGAGAGGGGAGGAAAAAGCUUGUUAUACACACUUGCAAAGAACAUUCUGUAAAUCUCUUCCCAACCCACAUUCAUUUCCCAGUAUUUCAGUGUCAUUUUUCUUUAACCAACAUUUUUUUUUCUCUUGUUACAAAAAUACUCUAUGGUCAUUUUUAUAAUGUGCAGCAUGAAGAAUUUCAUAAUUUAUUUAACC